GAUGAACGCUGGCGGCGUGCCUAAUACAUGCAAGUAGAACGCUGAAGGAGGAGCUUGCUCUUCUGGAUGAGUUGCGAACGGGUGAGUAACGCGUAGGUAACCUGCCUGGUAGCGGGGGAUAACUAUUGGAAACGAUAGCUAAUACCGCAUGACAACAGUUAUUGCAUGAUAACUGUUUAAAAGGGGCAACUGCUCCACUACCAGAUGGACCUGCGUUGUAUUAGCUAGUUGGUGAGGUAACGGCUCACCAAGGCGGCGAUACAUAGCCGACCUGAGAGGGGUGACGGCCCAACUGGGACUGGGACACGGCCCAGACCCCUUCGGGAAGCAGCCGGAGGGAAUCUUCGGCAAUUGAAGGAAAUCUGACCGGGCAACGCCGCGUGAGGGAAGAAGGUUUUCGGGUCCUAAAGCCUUGUUUUAAGAGAAGAACGAGUGUGAGAGUGGAAAGUUCACACUGUGACGGUAUCUUACCAGAAAGGGACGGCUAACUACGUG
rnacentral:rRNA from 1 species